GACGAACGCUGGCGGCGUGCCUAACACAUGCAAGUCGAGCGAGACCUUGGGGUCUAGCGGCGGACGGGUGAGUAAUACAUGAACAAUCUGCCCUGUACAAAGGAAUAGCCUCGGGAAACCGGGAUUAAAACCCUAUAACACUUAAGUGCCGCAUGGUGCAUAAGUCAAAUCGUUAGAGGUAUGGGAUGAGUUCAUGUCUGAUUAGCUAGUUGGUAAGGUAAGAGCUUACCAAGGCGACGAUCAGUAGCCGGCCUGAGAGGGUGAACGGCCACACUGGAACUGAGACACGGUCCAGACUCCUACGGGAGGCAGCAGUGGGGAAUAUUGCACAAUGGAGGGAACUUUGAUGCAGCGACGCCGCGUGAGUGAAGAAGGUUUUCGGAUCGUAAAACUCUGUCCUUGGUGAAGAAAAAAAUGACGGUAGCC
rnacentral:rRNA from 1 species